GACGAACCGUCCAAACGUUAUUCGGAAUCACUGGGCUUACAGAGUUCGUAGGCGGUCUGGAAAGUUGGGUGUGAAAUCCCUCGGCUCAACCGAGGAACUGCGCUUGAAACUACCAGACUCGAGGGAGAUAGAGGAAAGCGGAACUGAUGGUGGAGCGGCGAAAUGCGUUGAUAUCAUCAGGAACACCGGUGGCGAAGGCGGCUUUCUGGGUCUUACCUGACGCUGAGGAACGAAAGCCAGGGGAGCGAACGGG
rnacentral:rRNA from 1 species